rnacentral:lncRNA from 1 species
AGCCGCAUCCCUCUUUUCUAUCUCUCUCCCUCUCUCGAACUCUCUCGAUCUCUCUCUCUGUGCUUUCCUCUGCCAGCGUCGGAAAUGGUAGCUCCGGCCACCGUCUCACCCAAUCACCUCCACCAAUCGAUUCACCGCUUAAACUAAGCCAUACCCAACCCAAAUCAACAACCUGCAACUACCCCAAUGUCGGUUCUCAAUCCCUAGACAUCCACUUUUGGCGGAGAUCGAUGGAGGAGGAUGGUGACUGUCCUUCUCUGUUUUUCGGCGAGGGCUUGGGCUCCGGUCACCGAUCCACCUAGUGACGGUGAGACCCUUCCUCCUCUCUUCCUUCUGCACAGUCUAGUGCUUUAUUUCCUUCAAUUGAGACCUAACUCAGAAAUCCCCUUUUGUGUUUCUAGGUUUCUUGAGCUUCUUUUCCGGCGAUUGUGUUCUUCGUGUUCUGGUGGCGACCACGAGCUCCGACGAGUGUAGUUCAUCCUUGGCGAAGCCGGGACUUAGAGUUGGGAAGCUUUGAGGCAGCUGCUGUUAUGCAGCAUCGUGGCAGAGGGACUGCUUAUUGAUUUCAAGCAAGGAGAGGUUGCUGGGUUUGAGUGGUGUUCAGAUUGGAGGUAAGGAGUUUGAUUUGGUCGGCUGUGUUGUUGUUUGUGUUGCGGUUAUUUAGUUGGAUUGUGACUGAAAUCAUUGUUGUGGUUGAUACUUGUCGAUAACUUGGUGAUAGGAGUUUAUGGGGAGGCUAUGGCGAAAUUUCGGCAAGUCACUGGAAUCCGACGAGUAUUCGGGAUUCCGGCGAGGCAACAAUUCCGACAGAAUCCGUAAAGUUAAACAUUUGUGGUCUCAAGACAAGUCCAACGACAAGUAAUUGUCGUUGAACUCUAGAUGAUAUAGCGCCUAGUAGUUUGACAAUAUGAGACGACAUAUAGUUGUCAUUAGAAGUCUCAUGGUACAACAUAUCUUUGUUUUAUUUGUCGUUGAACGUUAUAUCAGUCGACACUUAUCUAUAGUAUGAAUAAAUAUAAGAGGACGUAAACAUCAUUAAUUUCUUCCUUAUUCUGGCUUCAGUCGACAUUUAUAUGUUGUAUGUAAUCCAUUAACACGACAUAUUUUUCUGAAACCUUCCAGAUUCAGCUUCUUCCAGACGAUAUAAGAUAUGUCGUCUGAACAGAUAUCAGACGACGGUGGAAAACUGUUAUCUGAGGUCAAUCACACGACACAGCCUCAGAUGACAUAAAAAAAACUGUUAGACGACAGACCUGGACUGUCGUCUGAUGAAUAUUUUGACAUAGUGAUGGUACCACUUUGAGGAUCACGCCAACCAUGUUGGUAGCAUCAACCAAGACUUGCAGCAACUCAUUGCUCUCUUCAUUAGUCC